AUUAGGGAAUUACAACAAAAAUAGGAAACAAUCCUAAAAUUAGCUCAAAACACAAAAAUAGGAAACAAUCCUAGAAUUAGGGAAUUACAACAGAAAAUAGGAAGUUACAACUAAUUACAAGAAUUUGAAAAUAAAAAGAAGAUCUAUUGUAAUGAAUUCUCUAAUAAUGACUUCUAAAAUUGGAGAUUCAAUAAUGCCUUAUUCAGGUUUUCAGUAUCUGAGAAAUCCGGCCAGUGAAAUUAAAGUGAUCUAAUUAAUCAUCUUGUUCACCCUUAAGCUUACAACUAAUGAAGCUUUAGUAGUUAAUUCAUUGUUUUCUUUGGCUCAAAUUGCCCAAAUAGGCUAAAUUUCCUUGUGCUCCAAAUUUUUUAGGAUUGUUCUAGCACCAUUAACCAGACAGAGAUCUUGGAACAAUGUUACUCAACCACAUGCUAUCUUAUAUUACUCUUAAAGAACUAGCAAAGGGGGUCUUCUCAUAGCCGAAGCAACAGGAGUUUCCGACACUGCUCAAUGAUUUGGCAUAUGGGGAGGGUUUCAAACAUGGGUAUCCUAAAAUUUCAAACCUAUUUUAGGAUAUGGCAUAAGGAGCAAUCAUACUUGAGCCCCAACACAUUCUAGAUACUCGCUGGAUCAAAUGGGGUAAGAAGUUUGAAAAGAACAAUUGGUUCAAUGGAAACAUUUACCAGUAGAAGAGGCCACAUGGGAGACACACCAAUCAUUGCUUGAGCAAUUUCCGAAUGUGGACCUUACGGACAAGAGUCCACCCGGUGGGGGAAGUAUUGAUAAGACAAGACAUUCUCAACGUGUGCCUAUUAGAAAUCCAUGGUACGUGUAAGGAGGACAGACUGUGCAUGGGAAGAUGGAUGUGUGUCAAAGACUUAGUCCAAGUUGUUCUCCAACGUUCACAUAUUUGCAAAGGAGUUGAAGGAGUGGGUCAUGCAGUUAUAGCUAUUUAUUUGUAACAUGUUAAGUAAUUGUUUCCUUAUUUGUUGCAAUUGUGAUCUUAAGUUUUGGGAAGAGGUUAAACUUUAUGUUUUUAAAUUCUAUCAGAUUCAAUAAGAAGGCAACAAAUAUUUGAUCCAAA